AUUUCCUCCAUAAUAUUACGGAUUUGUUGAACUUCAGACUCCGCCACUGUUAAGAGCCCAGAGGAACGGCAAGAUCCCACGGGUGUCAGCCACGUGACGAUGACCCGAAUCAUCUGGUUUCGCCGAUGAUUCAGGGGUUGGGGUGAGAGUAAACGAGUCCGGCUGAGAGGGUUUCUCCUUCAGCCCAGGAAGGCGCCCCUCGCCUCCGACCGAAUUCUACCGAGACCCGAGACGAAGGCAGGGAAUGGGGUCGAGUCCCGGACACACUCCAUCCCCAAGGAUACCCGUCCCCUCACCUCCGGGGUAGUCAGCGACACCCGAACUUCACUCUGACCAACGGAGAGCUUCUGACUGAUAACAUGGGAAAAAUACAACAUCAUCCACAGUGCAAGGAGGAGACCAAUUCAGCAUGUUACUAAAAAGGGGAUGUGGCACGCAAAUGGUGGAUGGAUCGCCAACUAAGUUGCAGUUGUCUCAGCCAGUCACAUUCCCACAAUGCUGCUCUCCUGUUGGUUGUUGUAUUUCACUGUAUGAAUGUCAUUCCCAUAGGGGUUUGCUUUCUCCGGUAUAUGUUCUUAGUUGGAUCUCUGCAGGCUUCAGUUAAAAAUGUCAUUCAAACUCAUUUUGUGGAAUGACUGAAAUAGCUGAGCUGGUGUCUAAUUUUUUUUCAAUUAAUUUCCCAUUUCACUUGCCUAUUGUUAGUUUUUCAUUGUAAAUCAUAAGGCCACCAAGUCCUGUGUCACCUUCUUCAUUAUCAGAUUUUUCAUCAACACAUCAGCGCUCUAUUUGAAACUGCAACUUGAUUUUUUAGCUUUUACUCUUCCCUGAUCAGUCCAUUUAUUUUUGUCUGCUUGACAUGCUCUUUGUAUGUGUCCUACUUUGCAUUGGUCUGGUACAUGUGAGCCCCUGCCACAACGAUAACACAAUUUGGUCAGAACAGUUUCGGUUUAGACGUUGCAAUUUUGUUCGUGCUCACUUUCAUUUGUGAAUGCCACUCAAUUGUGUCUGUCGAUUGCUCCCAUUGAUACAGUGAUUUCAACUGCUCUUUUAAAUGUGAGUUGUACUUCAGUUAGGAGCUGUUAUCUUGUAAGAAAAAUGCUUUCUUGUAAGAUUCCACAAACUAAAAGAUCUUUCAGUGUAUCAUUAAGCCCAUCACUGAACUGACAAUGCUCAGGCAAUCCCAAUUCAGCCACGUAAACUGAAAUGGACUUCUCCUCUUGUUGAUUCUACUUAUGAAACCUAAAGCGUUCUGCAGUCAACAAUAGUUUUGAUUCUAAAUGUUCCUGCAUUACUUUGACAAUAUCAGCAAGGCAAAUUUCUCCUCGUUUGGUUGGAACAGUUCAACUUUGAAGCAAACUGGAUGCCUUUAAACACAAAGCACUCAGCAAAAUUGGCACUUGUUUCUCACUUGCUAUUUUGUUUGCUUCAAAAUAUUGUUCAAUUAGCUCUGUAUACAUGAGCCAAUUAUUUCUUGUGGAAUCAAAUGCACCAAUCUUCCCGAUGUAGCCAGCAUUUCUGCUAUUUUUAUGAUUAUUAUCACGUGAUACUCAUUCCUUAUGAACCCGCGAAUUCUUCCAUCUUCUUACUUAAAAAAAAAACUUGACUAUGUCUUCCUUUCUGAAUAACAUGUACUGGGCUGUAUUUUUUUACUUUCUGUGUAUUUUUUUUUAGUCUAAACAUCUCAGUGAGCUUCAGCCGGCCAAUAGCCAUGUUGGGUUCAUUUUGAAAAUACGUCGCCGACAAUGGUAGCUUUAUCACUUCAAAACAUUAAAUUAAUUCAAAGGAAGUCUGAACUUUAAGUCCAGUUUUGUCCUUUACUUUUGGUGAGGUACACACAUAUUGUGCGGUAGCAUGAUGAUGUAUGUAUUUCACUUAUUUUUACAUAUAACCCAUAAUUAAUUAUUUAAAUGAACAAUAAUGCUUGAUCAAACAAUAUAUAUACACAAGUUUACUCAAAUGUUACUGAAAUAUUAAAAACACAACACCUUAAUGAGCUAUGAGCCCAUGGUAUUACUGGAAAGAUAAAGCAGAGGUUGUUAGGAGGCAAAGAGUAGGAAUAAGGGGAGUGUUUGCUGAUUGGUUGCCGGUGACUAGUGGUGUCCCACAGAGGCAGGUGCUGGACCAUUUCUUUUCACCUUAUAUGUCAAUGAUUUAGAUGAUGGAAUCAAUGGUUUUGUGGCUUGAUACAAAGAUAGAUGGAGCGGCAGGUGGUGUUGAGGAAGUAGAGAGGCUACAGAAGGACUUCGACAGAUUAGGAGAAUGGGCAAAGAAGUGGCAGAUGGAAUACAGUGUCAGGAAGUGUAUGGUCAUGCACUUUGGGAGCAGGAAUAAAAGCAUAGACUAUUUUCUAAAUGGAGGGAAAAUUCAAAAUCCAAGGUACAAAGGGACUUGGGAGAUUCCCUUAAGGUUAACUUGCAGGUUGAGUCUGUGAUGAGGAAGGGAAACACAACGUUAGCAUUAGUUCAAGUGGGCUAGAAUAUAAAAGAAAGGGUGUAAUUUUGAGGCUUUAUAAGGCAGUGGUGAGGCCUCACUUGGAGUAUUGUGAGCAGUUUUGGGCCCCCUUAUUUAAGAAAGAAUGUGCUGACGUUGGACAGGGCCCAGAAGAAGUCCACGUGAAUGAUCUUGGAAACAAAAGGGUUAACAUAUGUUUUUCUGUCUCUAGACCUGUACAUGACAGAGUUUAGAAGGAUGAGCAGGGAUCUCAUUGGUUACUUAAUGGCUUGGACAGAGUGGAAGUGGACAGGAUGUUUCCAGUAGUGAGAGAUGCUAGGACCAGAGAGCACAGCCUCAGAUUAAAGGGAUGUCCCUUUAUAACUAGAGUGAGGAGGAAUUUCUUUGGCUAGAGGGCAGCGAACGUGUGGAAUUUGUUUUAGGGAUCUGCUGUGUAUCAGGGUCAGGGUGCAGCCGGUUCUUCCUCACUGCCACCCUCCCUCUGCAACCACUUCCCAAUGACUCCAGGCCCCAAGCAGGAGUUGCCAACUUGCAUUGCUGCAAGAGGUUCAAAUUCUCAUUUAUUGUCUACAUGUACAUCAUUGAAUGAAACAAUGUUGCUCCGGGCCGAAGUGCACAACACAGUACAUAUAACGCAUACACAUAACACGCCACAAAUAAAUUAACAAAUAAUAUGGUUAAAGUUCAAAAGUAAACAGUAUAACGCUGCUAAUGGCCGGGGGGGGGGGGGGAGCUGUUUCCAAUUGUAACAAUCCUGGUGCUACAGUACCUCCUACCUGAUGGUAGGGGGUGAAAGAGAUUGUGCGCAGUGUCCCUGGCAAAUAUCUCUACUGGGUGGAAGAGAGACCCUGACGAUCCUCUCGGCAGCCCUCGCAAUCCUUCGUAGCGUCUUGUCCAGCAAUUCCUGUCCCGGAUGGUCAGAACAACCCAAUGGUGUUCCUGUAAAAACUGGUUACAGUGGGGUUGGGGGGGGGGGGGGGGUUGCCUCAGUCCCCUCGGGAAGUGGAGAUGCUGCUGUGCUUUCUUGACUAAAGAGGAGGCGGUAUGCAGGUACCAGGUGAGAUCAUCCAUUAUGUGCACUCCUCCACGGAGAACCAUGUGUGUGUAGUGAGGAGUGGGCAGCCUGUCUCUUCCAAAAGUCCCAUCAUCUCUUUGGUCUUGUCCACAUUGGGACUCAAGUUGUGGUGCUGGCCACUCAUCCUCUGUGAAUGCUGACUGGCCAUUGUUGUUGAUGAGGUCGACCACUGUUGUGUCAUCAGUGAACUUGAUGAUGCGGUUUGAGCUGGAUCUGGCGGUGCAGUUAGUCAGCAGGUAGCCCUGGGCAGUGAUGGAGCUGGAGAUGCUUCAGCCAUCACGGAUGGACUGUUCAGCCUGCCUGUCUAGAUGUCCAGAUCCAGUUACAGACACAAUAGUUCUGAUGGUGUACAGGAGAGAGAUAUAUCUGUCAGAUGAGUAGUCUUGCAUUCAACAUAAGAAAUUGGAGGAGGAGUCGGCCAUCUUGCCCAUCGAGCCUGCUCUGCCAUUCAACAAGAUCAUGGCUGAUCUGGCCAUAGACUUAUCUCCUCUUACCUGCCUUUUCCCCAUCACCCUUAAUUUCCCUAUUAUGCAAAAAUCUAUCCAACCUUGUCUUAAAUAUAUUUACUGAGGUGGCCUCCACUGCUUCACUGGGCAGAGAAUUCCACAGAUUCACCACUCUCUGGGAAAAGCAGUUCCUCCUCAUCUCUAUCCUAAAUCUACUCCCCCAAACCUUGAGGCUAUGUUCCCUCAUUCUAGUCUCACCUACCAGUGGAAACAACUUUCCUGCCUCUAUCUUAGCUAUUCCUUUUAUAAUUGUAUAUUGUAUGUUUCUAUAAGAUCUUCUCUCAUUCUUCUGAAUUCCAGUGAGUACAGUCCCAGGCAACUCAAUCUCUCCUCCUAAUCUAACCCCCUCAUCUCUGGAAUCAACCUGGUGAAGCUCCUCUGCACCGUCUCCAAAGCCAGUAUAUCCUUCAUCCAGUACGGAGGCCAGCACUGUACACAGUACUCCAGGUGUGGCCUCACCAGUACCCUGUAUAGUUGCAGCAUAACUACCCUGCUCUUAAAUUCAAUCCCUCUAGCAAUGAAGGCAAACAUCCCAUUUGCCUUUUUGAUAGCCUGCUGUACCUGCAAACCAUCCUUUUGUGAUUCAUGCACAAGCACUCCCAACUCCCUCUGCACAACAGCAUGCUGCAAUCUUUCACCAUUUAAAUAAUAAUCUGCUCUUUCGUUUUUCCUUCCAAAGUGGGUGACCUCGCAUUUACCGACAUUGUACUCCAUCUGCCAGACCUUUGCCCACUCACUUAACCUAAAUGUACCUCUCUGCCUGCUCUCCGUAUUUUCCGCACAGUUUGCUUUUCCACUCACUUUAGUGUCAUCAGCAAAUUUAAAUACAUUCCGCUCAGUCCCCUCUUCCAGAUUGUUAAUGUACAGUGGCAUGCAAAAGUUUGGGCACCCCUGGUCAAAAUUUCUGUUACUGUGAAUAGUUAAGUGAGUAGAAGAUGGCCUGAUCGCCAAAAAUCAUAAGGUUAAAGAUGAAACAUUCUUUUCAACAUUUUAAGCAAGAUUAGUGUAUUAUUUUUGUUUUGUACAAUUUUAGAGUGGGGAAAAAAGGAAAGGAGCACCAUGCAAAAGUUUGGGCACCCCAAGAGAUUUGAGCUCUCAGAUAACUUUUACCAAGGUCUCAAACCUUAAUUAGCUUGUUAGGGCUAUGGCUUGUCACAGUCAUCGCUAGGAAAGGCCAGGUGAUGCAAAUUUCAAAGCUUUAUAAAUACCCUAACUCCUCAAACCUUGUCCCAACAAUCAGCAGCAUGGGCUCCUCUAAGCAACUGCCUAGCACUCUGAAACUUAAAAUAAAUGAUGCCCACAAAGCAGGAGAAGGCUAUAAGAAGAUAGCAAAGCGUUUUCAGGUAGCCGUUUCCUCAGUUCAUAAUGUAAUUAAGAAAUGGCAGUUAACAGGAAUGGUGGAGGUCAAGUUGAGGUCUGGAAGACCAAGAAAACUUUCUGAGAGAACUGCUCGUAGGAUUGCUAGAAAGGCAAAACAAAACCUUCAGGAAGAUUUAGCAGACUCUGGAGUGGUGGUGCACUGUUCUACUGUGCAGCGACACUUGCACUAAUAUGACCUUCAUGGAAGAGACAUCAGAAGGAAACCUUUCCUGCAUCCUCACCAUGAAAUUCAGCGUCAGAAGCUUGCAAAGGAACAUCUAAACAAGCCUGAUGCAUUUUGGAAACAAGACCUGUGGACUGAUGAUAAAAUAUAACCUUUUGGCCGCAAUGAGCAAAGGUAUGUUUGGAGAAAAAAGGGUGCAGAAUUUAAUGAAAAGAACACCUCUCCAACCGUUAAGCAUGGGGGUGGAUCGAUCUUGCUUUGGACUUGUGUUGCUGUAGAGGGAAGAAUGAAUUCAAUUAAAUACCAGCAAAUUCUGGAAGCAAACAUCACACCGUCUGUAAAAAAGCUGAAGAUGAAAAGAGGAUGGCUUCUACAACAGGAUAAUGAUCAUAAACAAACCUCAAAAUCCACAAUGGACUACUUCAAGAAGCACAAUCUGAAGGUUUUGCCAUGGCCCUCACAGUCCCCCAACCUAAGCAUAAUCGAAAAUCUGUGGAUAGACCUCAAAAGAGCAGUGCCUGCAAGACAGCCCAAGAAUCUCACAGAACUAGAAGCCUAUUGCAAGGAAGAAUGGGCAAAAAUCCCCCAAACAAGAAUUGAAAGACUCUUAGCUGGCUACAGAAAGUGUUUACAAGCUGUGAUACUUGCCAAAGGGGGUGUUACUAAGUACUGACCAUGCAGGGCACCCAAACUUUUGCUUUGCGCCCUUUUCCUUUUUUGUUAUUUUGAAACUGUAAAAGAUGGAAAUAAAAAAAGUAAUCUUGCUUAAAAUAUUAAAGAAAUGUGUCAUCUUUAACUUUACACCUUUUGGAAAUCAGGUCAUCUUUUACUCGCUUAGCUAUUCACAGUAAUAGAAAUUUUAACCGGGGUGCCCAAACUUUUGCAUGCCACUGUAUAUUGUGAACAGUUGCGGGCCCAGCACCAGCCCCUGUGACACACCACUCACCACUGAUUGCCAACCAGAGUAGCACCCAUGUAUCCCAACUCAUCAGGGCCUAAUGGUCUGCAUUCCAGGGUACUCAAGGAGGUGGCUCUAGAAAUCAUGGACGCAUUGGUAAUCAUUUUCCAAUGUUCUACUGAUUCAGGAUCAGUUACUGAGGAUUGGAGGGUAGCUAAUGUUAUCCCACUUUUUAAGCAAGGAGGGAGAGAGAAGACAGGGAAUUAUAGACCAGUUAGCCUGACAUCAGUGGUGGGGAAGAAGCUGGAGUCAAUUAUAAAAGAUAAUAAGUACUCCUGCUUGAGUACUGUUGGGGGGGGGGACAGCCUACCUGGGGGAAGCAACAGUGGCUGUGCCUCCAACACAGAGUCUGGCCCUGUAGCUCAGAAGGGUAGGGAAAGGAAGAGGAAGGCAGUAGUAAUAGGGGUUGCAAUAGUUAGGGGGUCAGAUAGGCAAUUCUGUGGACACAGUCAGGAGUCCCGGAUGGUAGUUUGCCUCCCUGAUGCCAGGGUCCGGGAUGUUUCUGAUCACGUCCAAGAUAUCCUGAAGUGGGAGGGUGAGGAGCCAGAGGUACAUAUAGGUACCAAUGAUAUGGGUAGGAAAAGGGAAGAGGUCCUGAAAGGAGAAUAUAGGGAGUUAGGAAGAAAGUUGACGAGAAGGACCGCAAAGGUAGUAAUCUCGGGAUUACUGCCUGUGCCACGCGACAGUGAGAGUAGGAAUGGAAUGAGGUGGAGGAUAAAUGCGUGACUGAGGGAUUGGAGCAGGAGGCAGGGAUUCAAGUUUCUGGAUCAUUGGGACCUCUUUUGGGGCGGGUGUGACCUGUACAAAAAGGACGGGUUACACUUGAAUCCUAGGGGGACCAAUAUCCUGGCGGGAAGGUUUAAUAGAGCUGUUAGGGAGGGUUUAAACUAAUUUGGGAGGGGGAUGGGAACUGGAAUGAUGGAGUGGAGGAGAGGGAAAACAGAAAUAGAUCUAAGGUAGUGAGCAGUAAGGACGUCAGGAAGGACAGGCAGGUGAUGGAGCAAAUUUGCAGCCAUUGGGAUGAGUUGCAGUGCAAUCAAUGCAAAAAGUACCAAAUACUGGACUUAAGGUUUUAUACUUAAAUACACGCAGCAUAAGGAAUAAGGUGGAUGAUCUUGUUGUACAGUUACAGAUUGGCAGGUAUGAUAUUGUGGCCAUCACUGAGACGUGGCUGAAGGAUGCAUGUCUCUGGGAGCUGAAUGUCCAAGGAUACACAGUGUAUCAGAAGGAUAGGCAGGUAGGCAGAGGGGGUGGCGUGGCUUUAAUGGUAAGAAAUGAUAUUAAAUCAUUAGAAAGAGUUGACAUAGAAUUGGAAGGUACAGAAUCUUUAUGGGUUGAGCUAAGAAAUCGCAGGGGUAAAAGGACCCUGAUGGCAGUUAUCUACAGGCCUCCAAACAGCUGCAGUGAUGUGGACUACAAAUUACAACAGGAAAUAGAAAAGGCUUGCCAGAAGGGCAGUGUUAUGAUAAUUGUGGGGGAUUUUAACAUGCGAGUGGAUUGGGAAAAUCAGGUCGGCACUGGCUCUCAAGAGAGAGAAUUUGUAGAAUGUCUACGAGAUGGCUUUUUAGAACAGCUUGUUGUUGAACCCACUAGGGGAUCGGCUGUUCUGGGUUGGGUAUUGUGUAAUGAACCAGAAAUGAUUAGAGACAUAGAAGUGAAGGAACCCUUAGGAGGCAGUGAUCACAACAUGACUGAGUUCACUGUGAAAUUUGAGAAAGAGAAGCCGAAAUCCGAUUUGUCGGUAUUUCAGUGUAAAGGAAAUUACAGUGGCAUGAGAGAGGAACUGGCCAAGGUUGACUGGAAAGGGACACUAGCGGGAAGGAUGGCAGAGCAGCAGUGGCUAUAGUUUAUGUGAGAAGUGAGGAAGGUGCAAGACAGAUAUAUUCCAAAGAAGAAAUUUUUGAAUGGAAAAAGGAUGCAACUGUGGCUGACAAGAGAAGUCAAAGCCAAAGUAAAAGCAAAGCAGAGGGCAUACAAGGGAGCAAAAUUUAGUGGGAAGACAGAGGAUUGGCAAGUUUUUAAAAGCUUACAGAAGGAAACUAAGAAGGUCAUUAAGAGGGAAAAGAUGAACUAUGAAAGGAAGCUAGCAAAUAACAUCAAAGAGGAUACUAAAAGCUUUUUCAAGUAUAUAGAGUAAAAGACAGGUGAGAGUAGAUAUAGGACCAAUAGAAAAUGAUGCUGGAGAAAUUGUAAUGGGAGAUAAGGAGAUGGCAGAGGAACUGAACGAGUAUUUUGCAUCAGCAAUAUACCGGACAUUCAAGGGUGUCAGGGAAGAGAAAUAUGCGCAGUCACAAUUACAACAGAGAAAGUACUCAGGAAGCUGAAUAGUCUAAGGGUAGAUAAAUCUCCUGGACCAGAUGGAAUGCACCCUAGUGUUCUGAAGGAAGUAACAGUGGAGAUUGCAGAGGCAUUAGCAAUGAUCUUUCAAAAGUCGAUAGAUUCUGGCCUGGUUCCGGAGGACUGGAAGAUUGUAAAUGUCACUCUGCUAUUUAAGAAAGGGACAAGGAAGCAAAAAGGAAAUUAUAGACCUGU